AGCGAACGCUGGCGGCAGGCCUAACACAUGCAAGUCGAGCGCCCAGCAAUGGGAGCGGCAGACGGGUGAGUAACGCGUGGGGAUGUGCCCAAUGGUGCGGAAUAACCCAGGGAAACUUGGAUUAAUACCGCAUGUGCCCUUCGGGGGAAAGAUUUAUCGCCAUUGGAUCAACCCGCGUCUGAUUAGCUAGUUGGUGAGGUAAAGGCUCACCAAGGCGACGAUCAGUAGCUGGUCGGAGAGGAUGAUCAGCCACACUGGGACUGGGACACGGCCCAGACUCCUACGGGAGGCAGCAGUGGGGAAUAUUGGACAAUGGGCGCAAGCCUGAUCCAGCCAUGCCGCGUGAGUGAUGAAGGCCUUAGGGUUGUAAAGCUCUUUCGCCGGUGAAGAUAAUGACGGUAACCGGAGAAGAAGCCCCGGCUAACUUCGUGCCAGCCGCCGCGGUAAGAC
rnacentral:rRNA from 1 species